CCUACGGGAGGCAGCAGUAGGGAAUAUUGCUCAAUGGGGGAAACCCUGAAGCAGCAACGCCGCGUGGAGGAUGAAGGUUUUCGGAGUGUAAACUCCUUUUGGUAGAGAAGAGAAUGACGGUAGCUAACGAAUAAGCACCGGCGAACUCCGUGCCAGCAGCCGCGGUAAUACGGAGGGUGCAAGCGUUACUCGGAAUCCCUGGGCGUAAAGAGCGCGUAGGCGGGAUCGCAAGUCAGAUGUGAAAUCCUAUGGCUUAACCAUAGAACUGCAUUUGAAACUGUUAUUCUAGAGUAUGGGAGAGGUAGGUGGACUUCUUGUUGUAGUGGUCAAAUCCGU
rnacentral:rRNA from 1 species